rnacentral:rRNA from 1 species
UUGCCAUCAUUCAGUUGGGCACUCUAGCGAGACUGCCGGUAAUAAACCGGAGGAAGUGGGAUGACGUCAAAUCAUCAUGCCCCUUAUGACCUGGGCUACACACGUGCUACAAUGGUUGGUACAACGAGUUGCGAGUCGGUGACGGCGAGCUAAUCUCUUAAAGCCAAUCUCAGUUCGGAUUGUAGGCUGCAACUCGCCUACAUGAAGUCGGAAUCGCUAGUAAUCGCGGAUCAGCACGCCGCGGUGAAUACGUUCCCGGGCCUU